rnacentral:rRNA from 1 species
UACCUUGUUACGACUUCACCCCCCUCACCAAGCACACCUUAGGUACCCCUCUCCUUGCGGUUAAGGUAAUAACUUCGGGUGUCCUCAACUCGGGUGGUGUGACGGGCGGUGUGUACAAGGCCCGGGAACGUAUUCACCGCAGCGUGCUGAUCUGCGAUUACUAGCGAUUCCAACUUCAUGGAGUCGAGUUGCAGACUCCAAUCUGAACUACGGACUGUUUUUUGGGAUUGGCUCCACCUCGCGGUAUUGCUACCCUUUGUACAGCCCAUUGUAGCACGUGUGUAGCCCAGGACAUAAGGGCCAUGAGGACUUGACGUCAUCCCCACCUUCCUCCGGUUUGUCACCGGCAGUUCCGCUAAAGUGCCCUGGCUUUACCCAGAUGGCACUAGCAGUAAGGGUUGCGCUCGUUGCGGGACUUAACCCAACAUCUCACAACACGAGCUGACGACAGCCAUGCAGCACCUGUCUAUCUGUCCUAAAAGGAACGGGAUAUCUCUACCCCUGUCAGAUAGAUGUCAAGCCCUGGUAAGGUUCUUCGCGUAUCAUUGAAUUAAACCACAUCCUCGCCCCCUUCUGCGGCCCCCCGUAAAUUCCUUUGAGUUUACCCUUGGGGGAUAGUCCCAGGGGGU